CCGCCACCACUCUCCUCGCCGCGCCGCAGGCUGGACUCAUCGGGCUUGGCACCGAUGGCGACGGCCGACGCCGCCUUCCCUCACCACAGCGGACACAGACGAACGUGUCUCCCCUGGUUUCUCACCGAACGACAGGAGCAGUUUCGGUUGGAGGGCGCGGCUAGCUAGGAAACAAGAUGGAUGGAUGCUAGACGAGUUUGAUGGAUGGAUGCUUGUGUUUGUUGGCUGGAGAGUGCAGCUAACUAGGAUGUAUGCUAUGCUGCACGAAUUUGAUUGAUGGAUGGAUGAAUUUGUUUGUGCUUGAUUGUAUAGACUGAUUAGUGAUUAUUAUCUAUGUAAAUUUUUGUUGAUGAUUGACCAUUUGUUCUUCGCUGAUGUAUGCAGAGCCCCACUGUCGCAAGAAUGGACAAGGAAAAGGGGAAGGAGAGUAGGAGAAGGAGAAGGAGAGGAGCUUGGUGUCCAUUAUGAAGACUAAGCCGCUUGUCCCAGGAAGCAGAAGGGGAAGGGCAAGGGCAAGGGUUGUGUCGCUGCAGAGGAAGCGGGCCAAGGAUUACAGCAAUGUCCCGCUCGCCGAGUUGUUAUUAAGGGUAAAAAAAGCUCCACCGCCUUGAUGUCUUGCUGACCCUGCCGACGCCAAGAGCCGCACCAACCCCACUGUCUGCCGCUGGAUGGCGGAUCUCAAGACCGCCGCCUACCAAGCCGACCAUGUCCUCGAAAACUUCCGCUACGAGGCGCUGUGGCGCUGUGCCGACGACCACAUCCGCGCCCCUCCUCCGCAAUGGAGCAUGAUAAGCAAGUGGAGAAGGAUUAUGAAGAGGAGGAAGAGAAUGACGGGGACGAGGAUGAGCAAGGUACUGUGUUUGAGGAGGAGGAAGAUUCUCAUUUUGAUGUCAAAGCGCCAAGUGUUAU